rnacentral:rRNA from 1 species
GAUGAACGCUGGCGGCGUGCCUAAUACAUGCAAGUCGAGCGAAUGGAUUAAGAGCUUACUCUUAUGAAGUUAGCGGCGGACGGGUGAGUAACACGUGGGUAACCUGCCCAUAAGACUGGGAUAACUCCGGGAAACCGGGGCUAAUACCGGAUAACAUUUUGAACCGCAUGGUUCGAAAUUGAAAGGCGGCUUCGGCUGUCACUUAUGGAUGGACCCGCGUCGCAUUAGCUAGUUGGUGAGGUAACGGCUCACCAAGGCAACGAUGCGUAGCCGACCUGAGAGGGUGCUCGACCACACGGGGGAUGAGACACGGCCCAGACUCCUACGGGAGGCAGCAGUAGGGAAUCUUCCGCAAUGGACGAAAGUCUGACGGAGCAACGCCGCGUGAGUGAUGGAGGCUUUCGGGUCGUAAAACUCUGUUGUUAGGGAAGAACAAGUGCUAGUUGAAUAAGCUGGCACCUUGACGGUACCUAACCAGAAAGCCACGGCUAACUACGUGCCAGCAGCCGCCGUAA